UCCAAUCAGRGCGCUGGGCUGAGAACUGCCCAAUCAGGCGCACAGCCGGAGGAGAGAGGGCGGGAUCCGGGAUCUGGCGCGGCUUUUGCUCCAGCCCGAGCUCGGUUAGGGCCUCACCGCCCUGCUUUCACCCCCUCAGGGAGGCCCCGGUGAUUCGGCCACAGCCUCUGCCUCCGUCGCUCUGUGAGCUGCGGGCAUCGGAUGAUUCGUAGCUAAGACUCCGCGACACCCUGAAGCCCAGAAAUGGAACUCUUAACAUUCAGGGAUGUGGCCAUAGAAUUCUCUCCAGAAGAGUGGAAAUGCCUGGACCCUACCCAGCAGAAUUUAUAUAGAGAUGUAAUGUUGGAGAACUAUAGAAACCUGGUCUCCCUGGGUGUUGCUAUCUCUAACCCAGACCUGGUCACCUGUCUGGAGCAAAGAAAAGAGCCCUUCAAUGUAAAGAUACAUGAGGCAGUAGCCAGACCCCCAGGUAGACUGAGUCUUGCUCUGUAGCCUAGGCUGGAGUGCAGUGGUGCGAUCUUGGCACAUUACAACCUCCGCCUCCCAGGUUCAAGCAAUUCUCCUGCCUCAGUCUCCUGAGUAGCUGGGAUUACAAGCUCCUGCCACCAUGCCUGGCUAAUUUUUGUAUUUUUAGUAGAGAUGGGGUUUCGUCGUGUCGGCUAGGCUGGUUUCGAACUCCUGGCCUCAGGUGA